UGGGGGCCGAGGGGUGCUGCGCUUGUCCCGGGGGAGAGGAGAGCAGCCCUGGCCUCUGCUUGGUCUUUAUCCUUUCUGCAGGGCGCUAAGAGGCUUAUCGCCCGGUUUGAGGAUGUGGUAUUAGCGUAGCGAAGCCGGCGUGUUUCACGCGUAACUGGAUUUAACUGAAAACUUCUUCUUGGUUUUCUGCCCCAAGUAACUCGAGGGCUUUAAGCGCUGCCGUCCGUCUCUGCCACAGGCGCUCUCCUGCUUCUGUGCGCGGCAGCCCUCCCGCUCAGCUCGCCGGCCGGGACAUCGCUCUGGGGGUUGCGAGCGAGGGCGCAGCUCAGGACCUCCGUUGUAGGUGGUUUCCGACGGCCCGCGCGCGGUGGGGGCAUCGGGACGUACGGGGUUGGGACGGGGAGGCCUGAGCCCUGCCUGCCGCAGGGCACGUGAAGCUGGCACUUCAGUCUUGCCAGGGUCACGAGCGCUGGGCUCUUGAAGACAGCAAACGCAUAUUGCCAUAGCAAAGGCUAAUGGCGUCUUGGGGGCUCUCCGCUACACACGUGUCAUUCUGCCGCGUGAGAGCUGGAGAAAAAUCGGCCCGAUACCUGUGGUUCUCGAGUGCAAUGUUAUACACCUCUCAUCUUACAUUAACAGCAAUAAAAUAACUCUAACAUGCCUGAAUUUCUGAUGGGUUAAAAAAGCCCAAAGAAACCCUGCGUACGCAGGGUUUACCCUUGCGUCUCACCUAACUGUCAGUCGGUGUAGCUGUUGAACAUAAAAUACCUGCACGGUUUUCAUAAGGGAGAAACUUCACUUUAGAAGUUAGUACUACCUCAAAACCCUGAAUCUCGGUGUAAAUUAUGAGCACCUUUAGAGUGGCGUCAGAGGACUGGGGAAGGGCUUUUUGUGCCCAAACGCUUGUCUAACAUCCCUUCCAACAACGUAGGUUUAAUAAGAGAUAUUACAACGAAGCUUGCUUUUCUCUGGACUGUAUGAACCUAAGAAGUGCAGCAGUUUCUCUAACUGUUGGAGCUAAUUGGUGCUCAUAAUCAGAAAAUCCUGGCAAAGAAAAGCUUUCUAACAAAGCAUAGGUUUUGAAAGAUUAAUUUGCUAGGAGUUGUUUAAUCGCAAUAAAAAUGAGUAGUGGUCAUUCACCUGCAUGUUCUUGUGCAUCAAAUCAGUCUGACCCCAAGGCCUAACUUUCAUUGAAUGAUUCAGUUGUGCCGGAAUAAUUUGGGGGGUUGCAGGGAGAAGGACUGUCCUAAUUGGCAGAUAUCCCACUGAAAGGUGAGCUAUACCAGAAAAAAAUUCCCUUGCCUAUGGAGCAGUUUUGUGUGGGGAGCCGCUAGUAUGAACUAUUCUGGGAAAAUAACUUUCCUGGGUUAUAGGCUCUGCCCCCAUUUAGAAGGAUUUGCUGAUAUAUAGAUACCAGCAAACUCACUCCAGUGUAGACAUGACUAGAGUCAUGGCUUUAAGGACUUCUCUGUGCAUAUUCUUCUUUUUUUAAAUCUGUUAUCCUAGCUGGGCACACAUGCGCAUGCAUGCCUGUGCACUUAUCUGAAAGUCUGGUGGGGGACUUCAGCUUUUACAUCUUUGCUUCGCUCAUUAUACUCACUAGGUUGGGAACAAGGUGUUUCAUUUACAUACACGUUUAGUUUAACACUGAAACCUGUUCCACCAGUCCCAGAGAAAUAUACUGAGAUCUAAAUGUUGUGUAUAAAUAUAUAUACAUUUCCCCCUCUGUUUCCCACCCACCCCAGGAUGCAUAUAAGAAAUAGAUUAUACAGACGAGCAUUGGCUCAUCCAGGGGCCUUCCCACUAUGUCAAGUUCUCCAUUCCUUUUAAUUAGGCUCAUUUUACUAAAAAUGCUGUAAGGACACUAGUCAAAUAGUGGGUGUCAACAUUCAUUUAACUGAAAUGUUUGUAGAUCAGCUACUGUGAUUGGUACAUACGAGACAGAAAAGUAGGUGGGAUAUUUUCCAUUCUGGUUGUAACAUGUAGAAGUGUCUGCAACUUGUACGUUGUGUGAAAUGUUAUAGAGAAGAGGUUCCCCACUGUUGCCCUCUGUUACUAAAAGUAGCGAUAUUUUUCUUUAGCGCAGGAUGCACUGAGAAACCAGACAUCCACUGAGCCAAAUCCCUUACCCUUCUCUUCCCCGCCUGUUUUUAUAAUGCUGUGUUUCAUGUUUUUCUGAGGUUGGGUAGUGAUAUCCAUGAAAACAGAUUUAUUAAUCCUUGAUUGGCAAACAUUUAUUGUAAAUCUAAGGUUUAAGUUCCCUGUUCUUCAGCUACAUAUGGGUCAAGUCCAUAAUAAACUUGCUAGUUUCUAGUGGGUAAAUAUAUAUUGCCAUUUCUCCUUGAGUUUAAACAUGGAAGAUAAGUAAGGCAGGGAGGUAUGAACUUGGAGAUUGAAAGCUCUUCUCCUCUCCCCUCCUCAUCACUCAUUUACCACCUCUGUCCCUGGUUCAAAUCUGUAUUGGUGAGCAAACCCCCUCAUCAGGUGCUUACUGUGUGAAAUGUCUUGGUUGUAAAUCAAGCUGCCAUUCAGACCAGAUUGCAGCUGUGGCUUCUCUCCUUAGACUGCCAAGAAUGAGCUUAAGGAUCUGAGUUAUUAGUAAUAGAUUAUGGCCUAGUUUACACCACAAAGUUUGGCUGGCAGAAUGGAUGGCAUUUGCACUCAAACCUCUUCUGCAAGGGCAGACUCCUCUACUCUGCCAGUGCUCCACCUUUUGCUGUACUCUUGCCAAGUAGACUAAGGCUGCUGCUGCCACCCACCAGGCAGCCCCAAGGUCUGCCUUUCCAAGGUGCACUUUUCUGCACAGGCAAAGCAGCUGCUAUAAUGGAGCUGCUAGAAGCGCAUGGAUGUGCUGUCACUCUGGCCUGAUGGUGGUAACUGUCAUCUGCCCACAGAACGUAGACAUGGCCUAAACUACCUGAAUCAGCUUGGGUGAUCCUCCAGUUCUGUCGGCUUGUUGUUUCCGGGUCUUCGGGUUGUAGCAUCUGUGCCGGUAUUAAUUUCACUUUUUAACUUUUUUUUUUUUUUUUUAAGUAGUAGAAAUAAUAGAAGGGAGCUGAUCAUGUAAGGCUGAAUUCCAUCCGUUUCCCUUGAAACUUUCUAAGGAAUAGGAAAGAGAAGAUGCUAAUUUGGAAGUUACGCAAGUAAGAAAAUACUGCAGUAACACAGUCUAUACCCUAAAGAAUCUGAGACUGACACACGAGAAGCAAUGAGAAUAAAAGGUUGUACUAAGAGAAUCUCCCCUGAAGACCCACAUCACGAGUACUUCCACCAGUUCACAAUGACAACCUCAUAACAAAAGUCGAAGCAGAACUGUUAAUUUAAAGAACUUGCAUCCAAAAUGGCUAAAACCAGUACAACGACUAUUCGGUGAAAUGACUGAGAACAUAUGUAACAAAUUAGCAGAUUCAAUCCAUUUAUAAGAGGCUCUCUCAGAAAAAAAAUUAUUGAGAUAAGAGAAAAGGGAACCCCUGCAACACCACCUUGCAAUAAAGCCAAAUGCACCACUGCAUGGGCAGAGCCCUUCUGGAGAAACAGAUCCCAAACCACACCAAGAAAAUGCCAUUCGCAGCUCCAUGUUCUGAGGGUGUCCACUCAUAGACUCGAUGCUAGACUAGUAGCAAGGACACCACCAACCAAAACUACAGAGGUAUUCUGUUACAUUCUUAACCUACAUUGCACAUUGCGUUGUUCCCUGUGAAAACAAACCAGUAACUGGGGGGGGAAAGGAGAAUUGCUGAAUAUUCAGAGCCCUAAAAUGGAGUAAAGUCAGCAGGUGUCAUGUAACCGAAUCAAUACACCAAAAUGCUUUCUAGUUGUUCACAAUAAAACAACUGGAUGGCACAAUCUAAAAUUUUGCUGUAUGGAAGCGUAGUCUUGGUACCCAACUCGGAUAAUGGCUGCUGGGAGAAAAACCCAGGAGCCACCCUACAUCUACAGGUCUGCAAAUGGUAUGGAGAAGCAGUGCACUAACAUGCAGGUCAGAAGUGUGCCUGCUCUUGCUGUUUGAUUCACAGCAAGGUACGCUUAGCUGCUUCUGACCCUAACCAAAGUAGUGAAUGUUCCCUCCGCUGCGAACUGCCUCGCAGGACACCAAGCAGUAUGUGACCCUGUCUUGGGAAGUCUGUGCUGCUCUCGGACGCUCACUGUGGGACUCUUUCUUUUUCUGCUUUGGUGCAACUUGUGUAGUUUGUGCUGAAAGAUUAAUUGAAUGUGAAUCUUGACAGGAAGGGGCCGUGUGAGCAGGGAAACCUGCUUCAUGCAGGGUUUUCUUUCUACUACGAGUCACCUGCAGCCUGACUCUCCAUGGGUGGGAUUUGUGCCAUAAUAGUCUCUUGCAUGCUUUGCACACCUGCCCUUACCUGUCCUUGCUUCUGGAGAUGUGAUGGCUGCUGCAGUCUACAGGGAAGAAGAAGUCUUAGUGGGCAAAGUGGUGGAGCUGGGAUUAGAAGAAAAACUGCUCUGCUGCAUGGAAGUGGAAAAGUUAUUGUUAAGUGAGCAAGAUGAAGAGGUGAAAGGGUCAUGACUGGAAAGUGGGAAGGGAGGAGUCCAUCCCCUUGAGUUGGGGACCCAGGUGUGGGAGUAUGAGUUCUCUUCUUCAGCUUUAGCUCCCUUCCUUCGCUCUGCGACCUGACUGAGCUUAGAACAGACUGCGAAGGCUGUGGUAGAGGGUCCUGGUGGCUACCUGCAGCAGGCUGGAGAAGAGCCUGCUCUUUGCUGUUUUUUCUCAGGGGUUUGAAGCCAACAGUCUGGUAUUCUGAGCUCCUAGCACAAUGGUGAUGCCAUGACAGCCCUGACUCUAGGCAAAGGCCAUCUCAAGCUCUGGACAUCAUCAGAUUUCCAGACCUGCUGGAAUGAAAUACCCCUUUCCUGUAUCCUGAGAAAGAACCACUGAUCACAGCUGCUGCACUUGGCAGACUGACCUCCCCCCACGUGGGUACUGAUAAAGUUUAAGUAGGACAGCAUGGGAGAAAGUAGUUCAUGCCCCUUUCAGAGAGGAGGAGUGUGGAGCUCGGUGCUCAGGAUACCUUGCUGCCUCAUCUCCCUUGUGAAAAAUGGAUUAGCUGUUCUCUGCUCCUCCUUCCUUGCAUCUUUAUCUUGCAACUUCAGUUCCUUCUCACCCAAACUCAGAAUUAAACUUAAAAAAAGAAUCAUGGCUCUUCGGAUAGUUAUGACUUUCUUUUUCUCAUGAGUGCUUGUGAUUGGCAGUACCAUGCACUGUAGCUCGCAAAACAGCUCUCACCCAUUUAUGACUCUUUGACAGGCCACUUUAAAGGGACUUUAUUUUGCCUUGGCAAUAAAGAGGUCUUGGGCAUUUGUACCAGUUCAGAAGGUGUGCUGGCCUCUGGUGGGCACCUCUGACUUGGGCAACAGUGGUCAUAAACUGAGGUAAAUGGGGCAUAAAAGACACUGUUUGGAACCAUGUCCAGUCUUAGGAGGAACAAACUGCUUUGAUUAAACUGCCUCAUUCAUAAUCUCAGGAUAGUUGGGGAAAAUCAGUGAACAUAAUUUAUAAUGUAGUCCUGCUGGCAUCAGUUUUUGGUCCACCAUUGUUUAUCAAUGAUCUAGAUACAAAACCUUUGCUGGUUAAUGUGUAGACCUUGCUGGAGUGUGGAUUAAUACAACUAUUGAUCAGUGCAUGUAGAAAUCUUGCAGAGGCCCUGCUAACAGCAUGAAGCAAAGUAGGCCCCAAGGAAUAUGAAACUAGGUGUGCCAUAUACGACUUGCCCAAGUGCUGGAGAAGUAGCUUGUUACGUUUUGGAGGUGCCCCCAGGGUCAACAGAAAGAGAAUGAGUUGGUAAGACCAGCACAGAACACCAAAUCAAUGACCAGAGUGACCCAGCAAGCAGGUGUCCCUAUCUGGUGGCAAGUGUGCGCUAGCUGGCGAGAAGGAUGGGGAUGGUGUCCCCUGAAGAUGCGGUAGCAGUUAGAACUGGGAUGUGUAUGUUGUAAACAUGAAGUUGUUCUGAUUGGCGUCUAAAAAGGGACCUGGGUACCCUUAAUACUUGGUACUGGGCUUAAGGUUUAUGUACAUGCCUGUACCACGCUGGGCGAUGGUCUGUCUAGCACCGUGGACCAGCUGGUCACACGUUAGUGUCUAGGCUUCUUAGCGGACAGUAAAUCUGUCCGAGCUCUUCAUCACUAAGAACCCAUUUCCCGUAGCAAUGAGGUGGCUGGGGCACAGUAUCAUGGGUGGUAUCCUACUGGUGUGUGCACGGACUGUCCGACCUGAGGGAGUAACACCUGUCCCUUUUCCAGAAGUAGUGGACAGACGGCACUGAUGACUCCCUGGAGUUCUUGCUUCAAAUCUGCAGAUGAUUAAAGAUAGCACGGUAGUAAUUGUCUGGUGAAUUUGUGUAAUAGUCCAUCCACCUGAUCACUUCAAGAUGCACAGACUUUAAUCCUUUGCUAUACUAAGACUUUGGGGCUUUCCACAAUGGGAAUGGUGAAGCUGUUUGGUAUUGGGUAACAACGGUUUGAGAUGAUUGAUUCUGUGUAGCGUGUACACUAAAUUCCAAUGUAAUUUGGGUGUUGUGUGUACUGAUGCAAUAAAAAUGGUGAUCUGCUUAUAGAGCUUAAUAAUA